GAGUCUGAGGGCCGCAACUGCCGAAGCCUGCGCGCCCGAGAGCCCGCACUCCACUGCAAGGGAAGUGAGAAGCCCGAGCACCACGACCAGACUCGCCCUCGCUCACCACAAGCGGAGAAAGUCCAUGUGCAGCAACAGAGACCCAGCACGGCCAAAAAGAAACAGAGACUCUGGAACCCCAGACUUACAGCGAGAUCUUGCUUCGAUGGAAUGCUGGAGAUCCUGGAGGCCUCUCUCCUUCUUUUGGAGAUAAGAAAAGUCAAGAGCAGAUGGGCAGAUGCGGCAACACGAGACCAUCCCAGUGCCCAGGUCCGAGGCACUUUGAUGUCAACUGGGCCAUCAGCAGACUCACUUGUUUGGUGGGACACGUGAGGAGGUGAGGGCAUUCUGAGCCCGUCCUAGGAAAGAUAGCACGUGUGAAAAUCAAAUGACCUGCCGUCCAGCUAAUGGUGAAGCCUCAGACAUUCUGAAUCCUGGUCAUCAUUGUGCCUGCACUCAGGCCUCAGCUGUGACUCCCCACUGAAACCAAGCUAACUCUAUCUCUAGCUUCUAAACUGAACCCUGUCUCUACCCUAACCCUAACCCUGUCUCUAAACCUAAUCCAACGAUAACCCUCACUCUAACCUUAACCCAAACCCCAAACACAUCCCCAACCCUACCUUGAGCCCCCGUCAUGGGGAAAUUUGAGGUGGGGGUUGUGCCAUCUUCCUGACUUUUAUGAGUUGGUAAGAAUCGCAGGAUUUGUGGCGUAAGAGUUUCUUUAGAAGAAGUCUGCAGCCAGGCUUAGCCCAGCGUGGGUUUUUCUUCCCCUUUAGGGUUCACCAAACACUCUCCCAUUUACAUGGCCCUUGAGACUUGUGACAAAACUCUAAAGUGCUGUGGUGGAAAUUGCUAGUGGUUCCCAAUGUCUAUUUUGGUUUUUCUACAACAAUAGAAUUCCUGUAUUAGUCAGGGUUACUGUACUACUCCAGAGAAACGGAACCAAUUGGGUACAUAGAGAGAUAUAAGAUGAGAUUUAUUGGAGGGACUGCUUCACAGGGUUACGGAGCCCAGGACGCCCCACAGUCUGCCGUCUGCAGGCUGGUGACCCAGGAAGGCUGCUAGUGUAACUUGGUCUGAGUCAAGGAGUCCUGAUAUCUGAGGGCAGGAAAAGAUGGACCUCCCAGCUCAAGAAGAGGAAAGAAGUCACCCUUCCUUCACUUCUAUGUGGGCCUCCAUGCGCUGGGUGACGCCACCCACGUUGGUGAGAGAAGAGCCUACAGGUGAGGGAAGCUUCAGUCUACCGAACCAAAGGCCCACCUCUUGUAGAAACACCCUCAUAGACACCCCUAGACAU
ensembl:lncRNA